rnacentral:lncRNA from 1 species
UCAAGACCUUGAUCGACAAAAAAGCAUGGCCCUAUGUCAUGAAUGACCUUCGUCUCAAGGCUGAGUACCUCCGCUUUGACCUUAAAACUGUUAUUUCUUCCAAGCCCAAAGAUGAAAAGAAAUCUCUCGAUGAACUCACUAAAAAGCUCUUCAAUACCAUUGAUGGAGUAAGUUUUGAAGUAUACAGAUUAAUUUAUAUUAUUUAACGAAAUAUUAUAACUUACCAUUCUGAUAUGAAUUUUUUUUUUCCGUGUAGCUUGACCAUGCAGCCAAGAUCAAGAGCACCCCUGAAGCAGAAAAGUACUAUGCCGAGACUGCAUCAGCUUUGAAUGAAGUUAUUGCCAAGCUUGGCUAAGGGAAUUGUUGUAUUUUAAUGUAAGCAUUGUUGAUCGUUUGUAGAGAAA